rnacentral:lncRNA from 1 species
AGGAGCGAGAGAGCGACGCGGCAGCGACGGAGGCCCGACCGGCGGUUGGCGGGGGUGGGAGAGCGGGAGCGGUAGCGACCGAAGCCGACCCGAGCGACCCAGCGAGAGAGAGCACCGGAAAUGAGGCGGCGCGCGUGCGCAGCCAGUCACCGGCACCGCCCUUGGGUUUCUCCGCGGAGAACAAAGUCCCCAGUCCGGCCACGGCGCCUGCGCACCGCCGCGGCGUCCGAAGAAGUCUCCUCCCGACUCUGGCUUUCCCUCCGCGCCUGCCAGGCCAGAGCUUGACGCGCUUGCGCGGGAGGCCGCCGGCUCCGUUCGUUUCCUUUUCCACGUGACUCGGCGCUAGCGAAGCCAAGGAGAAACAUGAAAACUCAAAUGUGCCCUGAACCAGUCUCAACCCUGAAGUUAAGGAAUGCAAAAGUUCCCGAAGUCGUUUUCUUCUCUGGCCGAAAUCCAGUCCCACUUGACGGCGGGGGAGCUGGGGAUCGUGACUGUGGAUCGGCCCCGGGAAGGAUCCCGCGGAGGCCGCCGCCCUCCCGUCCACUCAGGCCCCAGCUGAAGCUUUCCAGCUCCCGCCGGCACCAGGACAGAGAACCCCUCCGCCCGCGGACCCACGCCCCGAGCGAGCCUUGACUUCUCCCGGAAUUCACAGCUUCACUCCCUCCCCUCCCCCAAAGGCGGACGCAGGGGAAGCUCUAGUGCCUGAGGAGGCCACAGAGUGCGAACUGGAGCGUCUCAGGGUACGACACCAGGGCUUCCUGCACAAGCGGAUAGGCCAGGGGCGGGGGAUUCCUGCAAACAGCUGGAACCGGCGCCCUGCCCCCUCCGCCCCGCCCCUGCAAAAGAGGGCUGUAAAAUUCCGGAAGAGAGAUUAGAGGCAGGGGAUGGGUGGGGCGGCGAAUAAGUACAUUUCUUCUUCCCCCUGCCUCCUCCUACCGGGUUAUCACUCUGGGAGGGUUGAGUCGUCUCUUGGCCUUCUCUUGGCCGGUGCACUGGCAGCGUCCAGACAUGGGGCUUGAAACCUCCCAUGCUCAUCUGAACUUUGUGGAGCCUGGAUCGCUUAUUUCGCAGCUCAUGACUCCAUCUGGUUUCGGGCUCGGAAAUUUUGGUUGUUACUUGCAACUGGGUCUUUUCCAUAAGAGUGCUUCAUAGGUCUGUCUGUGCGUUUGUUAGUAGUUCCUAUUUAUUGAGCGAACUUUGCAAUGGAGGCAUACUUUAUUUAGUGUUAGAGGGAAGGAACCUGAAGGUUCAGACAGGCUGUGAAACCUCAAGGCCACACAAUGGCAGAGCCAGGAAUCAACUCAGCGAUUGGUUCCACACAUUUCCCAUCGCAUCCUGCUGCUUCCUUUGUUUCAGGUCUUUAAAAGGCAAGACUUAUUUGUUAGGGGGUAGGGAAGUAACAUUUAUGGACCACCUCCCACUGUGCCAGCUACUUUAAAUAUAUUGUCUUUAAUCACUUAAUUUGUCACAACACUUCAAGACAGAUGUGAUCACCGUGCCCAUAUUACAGAUGAGGAAAACUUUAGAGGUGAG